CAAAGGAGAAAUAAAAAAAUACCUGGAGAGAAAUGAAAAUGAAAACAUGACAUACCAAAAUCUAUGGGAUGUAGCAACAGCAGUACUAAGAGGGAAAUUUAUAGAAAUAC